GGGCGUGUAGCUCAACGGUAGAGCAGUGGCCUUUUAAGCCAUUGGUUGAGAGUUCGAGCCUCUCCACGCUCACCU
rnacentral:tRNA from 1 species